CUAUUCAGCCGGCUGGCUGCGCUGCGCUUUGUCUCCCUGGAGAGGUGUUACUGCGCGAAGAGCAUGCCCUGCUGUCACUUCUCUGCUUCAAAGCCAUCUCAGAAGAGAGGUCACAGUUAUGCUGGUGGCACUGCCUGGCUAGCUGAGGAGUAGGCAACAGGGAGGAUAUUUAUGUGGUGUCUUCAGAAAAGAAAAAUUUCUUGGAGAGAUGCAGCAUGAUGCUCUCAAAUGAGCUACAAUCAUAUGAACAGCAGGGAUGUUAGCGCCCAACAAAUAUAUUCAAUGAAUCACUCAGCCACACCAGCUCAUUAGGCGAACAAGGGUUUUUAAGUCCUCUUAUUCACUGUAAAGGAGGCCUGCUCCUUCUGUUACCACUGCUGCCUGUAUUAGCAGAAUGAAUACUGCACACACCAAGGCCAUUAAGGUCAGUAGCUUUCUCUUUUCUGAUUACUGCUCCCUGUUGCAGAAAAAGAGCUGCUGAGCACCAAGUGUUGCCAGCAGUGAAUGGUCUCCAUUACUUGGGAAGAGCGAUUCCUGCCGAAGUAGAGAGCUGAGAGAGGCCAGUGCCCCAGCAGGAUCUGAGCCCCUCACAGAGGCGCAGCUACAGCCACAGGACAGAGGAGAGAAGGCAGGGGAAGCAGUGUGCAGGCCUGAUCUCCUCCUUUUCACGCGAAGCAAAUCCUCCCUCAUUCCUGCAGCAGAGCCCGAUACGCCCCCAUUCCUACUGAGGCGGCCUCCCUGCGGGGCAAAGGCAGCCCAGCGAGAGAGGAAUUGAGGAGCUGCAGCAGCACGGGAACCUUGACAGCCCAGGGCCAAGCACAACGUGAUCUCGGGGCACUGCUGAAGCACAAGUAAUAAACCACGACCCAUGUGAGGUGGCGGAGAGGGCAACAUCACCUCCGCGUUGUCAGGACUUUAAUGAAAGUUUUUAAUAGCAUUCAGUUCAAGACUGGCCUGCUGUUUCCUUUGCCUAAUAUUGCCUGCUACACUGAUGAUUUCAUAAAUUAUUCAGUUGUUUGGGAUUUGUCUGUCAGCUGUGACAAAAUUGCUCAAAGGGAACACUUCAGAGGUUUGUCCAGAUUCCCAGACUGAACAAUCCUGAACCCAAGAAGGGCCUCGUAUUAGAAGAAAAGUGAGCCCUAAAACAUUGGCUCACAAAGAAGGGUGCAUGCAUAUUGAAUAUGCUUUUCAACAACAAAACAAAAAUGUUAUUAAAUGCAUUUUACAGUUCACUUCCUGUGGUUAAUGAUGGCACUGGAUGAGACCAUUAAAAUAAC